rnacentral:rRNA from 1 species
UCCACGCCGUAAACGAUGUCUACUAGCCGUUGGGGGACUUGAUCCUUUAGUGGCGCAGCUAACGCAAUAAGUAGACCGCCUGGGGAGUACGGUCGCAAGAUUAAAACUCAAAUGAAAUUGACGGGGGGCCCCGGCACAAGCGGUGGAGCAUGUGGUUUAAUUCGAUGCAACGCGAAGAACCUUACCAAGACUUGACAUCCUGAGAACUUUCUAGAAAUAGUUAGGUGCCUUCG